AAUAUUGCACAAUGGGGGAAACCCUGAUGCAGCCAUGCCGCGUGUGUGAAGAAGGCCUUCGGGUUGUAAAGCACUUUCAGUAGGGAGGAAGGUAGUGUAGUUAACACCUGCAUUAUUUGACGCUACCUACAGAAGAAGCACCGGCUAACUCCGUGCCAGCAGCCGCGGUAAUACGGAGGGUGCGAGCGUUAAUCGGAAUUACUGGGCGUAAAGCGCAUGCAGGCGGCCUGUUAAGUCAGAUGUGAAAGCCCGGGGCUUAACCUCGGAAUUGCAUUUGAAACUGGCAGGCUAGAGUCUUGUAGAGGGGGUAGAAUUUCAGGUGUAGCGGUGAAAUGCGUAGAGAUCUGAAGGAAUACCAGUGGCGAAGGCGGCCCCCUGGACAAAGACUGACGCUCAGAUGCGAAAGCGUGGGGAGCAAACAGGAUUAGAUACCCUGGUAG
rnacentral:rRNA from 1 species